AGCAGCCGCGGUAAUUCCAGCUCCAAUAGCGUAUAUUAAAGUUGUUGCAGUUAAAAAGCUCGUAGUUGAAUUUCGGGAUCGACGGGUCGGUCGCGCCUCUGGUGUGUACUGGCCCUGUCGGUUUCUCCCUUCUGACGAACCACGAUGUCAUUAAUUUGGUGUCGUGGGAAAUCAGGACUGUUACUUUGAAAAAAUUAGAGUGUUUAAAGCAGGCAUUCGCUUGAAUACAUUAGCAUGGAAUAAUGAAAUAGGACGUUUGAUCUUAUUUUGUUGGUUUCUAAGAUCGACGUAAUGAUUAAUAGGGAUAGUUGGGGGCAUUAGUAUUCAAUUGUCAGAGGUGAAAUUCUUGGAUUUAUUGAAGACUAACUACUGCGAAAGCAUUUGCCAAGGAUGUUUUCAUUAAUCAAGAACGAAAGUUAGGGGAUCGAAGACGAUCAGAUACCGUCGUAGUCUUAACCAUAAACUAUGCCGACUAGGGAUCGGAUGAUGUUAAUUUUUAAUGACUCAUUCGGC
rnacentral:rRNA from 1 species